UUUCUUGAUAUGCUAGAUGCUUUAGGUUAUUGCAUCAAAGUAGUUGUAUUUUCUUUACAAGAGAUGAACUAAUAGGAUUAUAUGGUUUACUAACCUGAUGAAAGUAAAGAGAGAUUUGGGGGAAAAAGAUAAAACAAUCUUUCAAUUGAAGCCUCAAUUUUACGAAGUUCUUUUGUUUCUGUGAAAUUUCAUCUGCCAUACUUUUUUUUAUGAUAAUGGUAAAGAUGUGUCAUAUAUUGGUGCUAGAAAUGAUUUAUGAAUUUGUGGUAAUUACCAUGUGGCAGAGGUUUCUGUUAGGUAGAAUCUAACAGAAGAUAUUCCAAUAGAAGAUGAUAGAAGGAAAGAUAGAAUAGAGAAGAAAAAAGAGAGAAGAUAGAAAGAUCAAGAAGAA
rnacentral:misc_RNA from 1 species